AGUUUUACCGGAUCGUUAGCUAAAAACUGUCCGCGUCAGGAGACAGUGACGUUAAACGCAAAGUUGGUUUAUAAUCACGCAACACAACAAAAGGAGCAAAGCGAGUUCAGUUUCUUUGUGUGUUCAUUCUGUAACGUGAGAAAGUGAUAUUCCAGGUUCAUAACUUCACUAAUAACUGCGGGCGGAUGCCGUUAACUGCGCCGCGGCGGGUGUUUUCAGAUAGCCGACGACGAUAAGCUAACAGCAAAUAGUUUCCUUCUUGUUUUUACAGGGACGUGAAGAUGAAGCGUAAAUAUUAUGAGUGGCAAAAGGCGUUUCCUGUUAAAACAUUACAGGUUAAAAGACGGGAGCUACAGUAGAACCGCAUCGUUUCCUUGUUUGCGCACAUUUAACUAUAUUAAUGAAUCGAUUAAGUUACGGUUCACUUAGCAAAAACACCAGAGAAGCCACACAACUGUGUGAACCUGAACAAGUAGCUUCUCACUGCCACUUGUGUGAUUUGUCUGCGUCCUGCACUGAUGCAGCGUUCAUCACAGACUCCACUGCCCCCAUGGAGGAUGUAACCUUUAUACCGAGGCGUGCUCUGCAUUUAAUGGACACAUAAGUAAGCUGCACAGAACAGACAGACAGGAUGUUCAAGACAGAAAUAGUCUCUGGUAGUGAAACUUAUGAGGAAGAACUCCAAGGUAUUAUUUAGUCUUGGAAUGUGAUACUGGAGCGUUGUCUGUAUUUCACAGGUAUGCACGCGAGUUCAACCGGACAGUGCGAAAGAACCUCAAGCAGGAAUUUGAACGAAAGCCCUGAUCGACACAGCCUUCGGCUAAUCGACAUAUUUCCAUCUAAAAGAGGGAACGUUGGGCAGCUGUUGGCACAGCUUUCUCAACAAGAUUACAGCUUCGGACACCGGUGCUGAGAAGGCUUCCUGUACUCCUCUGGGACGAUGCCACAGACUUCUACCAACCAGCCUUUGUAAUUCUUUCUGAAAAAGAAAAAACAUUUCCUGAAAGAUCAUCUAGGACCAUCACAGCAUCAUUUCGAACUGUUAUUACCAUUAUUUGAUGAACCUAGUGAGCAUAGUUUUAUAGAAUAAACCUUCCCUCAUGCG